rnacentral:rRNA from 1 species
AACGAACGCUGGCGGCAGGCCUAACACAUGCAAGUCGAACGAGCUGAGACCUUCGGGUCUCGAUGCUAGUGGCGCACGGGUGAGUAACGCGUGGGAACGUACCCUUUAGUACGGUAUAACCCAGGGAAACUUGGGCUAAUACCGUAUACGCCCUUCGGGGGAAAGAUUUAUCGCUAAAGGAUCGGCCCGCGUCUGAUUAGGUAGUUGGUGAGGUAACGGCUCACCAAGCCGACGAUCAGUAGCUGGUCUGAGAGGAUGAUCAGCCACACUGGGACUGAGACACGGCCCAGACUCCUACGGGAGGCAGCAGUGGGGAAUAUUGGACAAUGGGCGAAAGCCUGAUCCAGCCAUGCCGCGUGAGUGAAGAAGGCCUUCGGGUUGUAAAGCUCUUUCGACGGGGACGAUGAUGACGGUACCCGUAUAAGAAGCCCCGGCAAACUUCGUGCCAGCCGCCGCCGUAA